rfam:Triticum aestivum genome assembly, contig: Triticum_aestivum_CS42_TGACv1_scaffold_499411_6BL
CAAGUACUCCCUUGUCCGAAAAUACUUGUCAUCAAAAUAGAUAGAAAGGGAUGUAUCUAAAACUAAAAUACGUCUAGAUACAUCUCCUUUUAUUCAUUUUGAUGACAAGUAUUUCAGGACGGGGGGAGUAUGAU